UGCCGCGUGGGUGAAGAAGGCCUUCGGGUUGUAAAGCCCUUUUGUUGGGAAAGAAAAGCAGUCGGUUAAUACCCGAUUGUUCUGACGGUACCCAAAGAAUAAGCACCGGCUAACUUCGUGCCAGCAGCCGCGGUAAUACGAAGGGUGCAAGCGUUACUCGGAAUUACUGGGCGUAAAGCGUGCGUAGGUGGUUGUUUAAGUCCGUUGUGAAAGCCCUGGGCUCAACCUGGGAAUUGCAGUGGAUACUGGGCAACUAGAGUGUGGUAGAGGAUGGCGGAAUUCCCGGUGUAGCAGUGAAAUGCGUAGAGAUCGGGAGGAACAUCUGUGGCGAAGGCGGCCAUCUGGACCAACACUG
rnacentral:rRNA from 1 species